AAGCGGUGGAAAAACUAUGAGUUGCUCUCUUUUCCUGGACAAAGAACAGCUCCUUCAGAUUCUUAGCAAGAUAAAUUCACUGCCUUUGGGAAGAAUUCAGCCACCAAGGAAUAUUCAGUCAUUCGCACGGUCCUAUGGUCAUUUGUCUAAACCCCGACAACCAUUUUUCUGCCUUGGAAUUCUUUCACUUUUGGGAAAAGUGAAUCUCUAUUUCGUUGACGAUCUGCCCCUAUUUUCGUCUCCUCUGAUCAUCUUCGACGUGUCCAAUCAUCUAUGGUGUCUCCGAAGUCAUUUUUCAGCUCUGCCUUAUCGUCUACUACUCCGUUCUUAGAAAAGAAGCCUUAGUUAUGCUUUUCCCUUUUCCUUCUUCAACACCCGAAAGACGAACAACCAAAACCACUUCUCCUCCUUGAAAUUGAUGUUUUUCCUCGCCACUCCAUAAACAGCUCACUGAAUCUCUUUUCCUGAGACACACACAAGCACGCACUCACACCUCUUGGCUUCUCCUCAUCAGUCUCCAAACAGUUCAGACUUCAGAUCUUUGGAUGGUAAGUCUUCUACGCUUAUAGUUUCAGUUUAUAUAU